CUCUAGCGAUCGAAACAUUUUGAGCUCAAGUACAAACGGGUAGAAAUCUAGCACAAACGAUAAAAUUAUUUCGUAUUGCGAAAAGCAAUCACCUGUCGACUAUCGUCAUAGGAAUUAAAAUAAAAAGUCAGAAUAUCGCCUCAAUCGUGACAUUUAGACGGUACAUAUUCAUUUUGUUUAUGCCUUCAAAUGAUAGUUCCUCUGGUAUCCUCUCACUUCAGACAAUUUUCGUCAAUUCGAGGAAGAGGAGAAGAUUGGAAUUGAGGUCGAGGCAUCAAUUGACUUGGAUUGAAAAAAUCGUGGAUCUUCGGUCCAACGAUACGCAAGAAAAUCGCGGAAAUUAAAGGCAAUCACCUCGGAUGACAAUUCCCACAGAGGAAUGCCGAAGAGUGGGAUCAUAAAGCUGCUAUCCCGACUCUCAUUCAGACGUCAGCACUAGGGGUGUUAAUUCCUCAGAGAUUUCUGCUAAAUCCCCCGAAUUCGAUCGGGGAUUCAGUGCCGAAGCUCGCAGAAUCCUGUCAGGAGUUUUGCGCAUCGUCAGUUGAAAUUUCAUCAGCACGUUUAUGAUUUUUCCAUUUUUUCUGAUGGAAGAAACAGACAUCGAAUUUUCCUGGUUGUAAUAUUCUUCUCCGGAGACGAUGACAUGGCGUUGCAGCGGAGCAACGAAUCAGGAGAUGAUAGCGAAGUUAAAACAAAAUGGAAUUUUAACGACGGAGAGAGCUGAAGCGGCAAUGCUCGCAAUUGACCGAGGAAAGUACUGUCACGAGUCUGAUCCGUACCUGGACCGUCCCAGGAGAAUAGGCUACAAUGUCACCAUCAGUGCUCCGCACAUGCACGCUUACGCCUUAUCGAUUCUGACGGACCAGCUGAAGGAGGGCUGCAGGGCAUUGGACGUCGGCUCAGGGUCUGGAUAUUUGACGGCAUGUAUGGGGUUCCUGGUGGGGGCUUCGGGGAAAGUGGUUGGGGUCGAACAUAUUCCCGAGCUUGUGGCUAUUGGGGAAAGGAAUUUGAGGGAGGAUUGCCCGACCUUCAUAGAGGAUGGACGGAUUAAAUUCGUGGAGGCCGAUGGACGAAUUGGAUACUCCCAGGAGGCCCCCUACGAUGCGAUCCACGUCGGAGCGGCUGCUGAGUCGAUCCCCGAAGAGGUACCUCCCAAAAAUAGUCACAAAAUCCCGAAAACAAUAUAUUCCUCUGCAGUUGGUGAGGCAACUGGCCCCUGGGGGUCGCCUGAUUCUCCCAGUCGUUGCCAUCGAGGGCUUUCAGAAGUACCAGGACCUGGUGCAAGUCGACAAGGAUCACGAUGGCACAGUGAAAACCCAGAAGCUCAUGCACGUCUCUUACGUUCUACUCACCGAUCCAAAUACUCAAUUACAUAAUUAGGACUCUCCAAAUCCCCCCCCCCGUUUCACCCCUACCCUAUUGUCUAAAUUCGGAUAGAACAAGAAAAGCUCGUCAGUGGGACAGCCACCAGCUGUGCAAACAGUUCCAACCCAAAAAUUGUCCAAAGUCAGGAGAAUUUAACGCACUCUGGGAUGUGCUGCCGUCAGCUAAUGCCGCAGCAACACUACAAUCGAUCUAUCGAAUUAUUUGCAACGAUAGUCAUGGCAGCGUUUGGGAGGUACCAUGGAAGAUCGAACAAGGACCUAGUGCAGUACCUGAAGAAGUCGAAGGUGAUCAAGUCUGAUCGAGUUUUUGAUGCAAUGUGCUCGGUGGACAGAGCAAAAUAUAC